UACGUAGGGGGCAAACGUUGUCCGGAUUUACUGGGUGUAAAGGGUGCGCAGGCGGUUUUGUAAGUCCGUGUUGAAAUACCUCAGCUUAACUGAGGGACUGGCAAGGAUACUGCAAGACUUGAGUACAAUUGAGGUAGGCGGAAUUAGUGGUGUAGCGGUGAAAUGCUUAGAUACCACUAGGAACACCGAUAGCGAAGGCAGCUUACCAAGUUGUAACUGACGCUCAUGCACGAAAGUGUGGGUAGCAAACAGG
rnacentral:rRNA from 1 species